rnacentral:rRNA from 1 species
UUGGUUAAGUUAGAAAGGGCGCACGGUGGAUGCCUUGGCACUAGGAGCCGAAGAAGGACGGGACUAACACCGAUAUGCUUUGGGGAGCUGUACGUAAGCGUUGAUCCAGAGAUUUCCGAAUGGGGGAACCCACUAUCUUUAGUCGGAUAGUAUCCUUACGUGAAUACAUAGCGUGAGGAAGGCAGACCCAGGGAACUGAAACAUCUAAGUACCUGGAGGAAGAGAAAGAAAAAUCGAUUUCCUGAGUAGCGGCGAGCGAAACGGAAAGAGCCCAAACCAAGAAGCUUGCUUCUUGGGGUUGUAGGACACUCUAUACGGAGUUACAAAAGAAAGUUAUAAAUGAAGCGGUCUGGAAAGGCCCGCCAAAGACGGUAACAGCCCGGUAGUUGAAAUGGCUUUCCCUCCAGAGUGGAUCCUGAGUACGGCGGAACACGUGAAAUUCCGUCGGAAUCCGGGAGGACCAUCUCCCAAGGCUAAAUACUCCCUAGUGACCGAUAGUGAACCAGUACCGUGAGGGAAAGGUGAAAAGCACCCCGGAAGGGGAGUGAAACAGUUCCUGAAACCGUGUGCCUACAAGUAGUUAGAGCCCGUUAAUGGGUGAUAGCGUGCCUUUUGUAGAAUGAACCGGCGAGUUACGAUUUGUUGCAAGGUUAAGCGGAAAAAGCGGAGCCGUAGCGAAAGCGAGUCUGAAUAGGGCGCAUAAGUAACAGGUCGUAGACCCGAAACCAGGUGAUCUACCCAUGUCCAGGAUGAAGGUAAGGUAAUACUUACUGGAGGUCCGAACCCACGCACGUUGAAAAGUGCGGGGAUGAGGUGUGGGUAGCGGAGAAAUUCCAAUCGAACUUGGAGAUAGCUGGUUCUCUCCGAAAUAGCUUUAGGGCUAGCCUCGAGGUAAAGAGUCAUGGAGGUAGAGCACUGUUUGGACUAGGGGCCCUUCUCGGGUUACCGAAUUCAGAUAAACUCCGAAUGCCAUGUACUUAUACUCGGGAGUCAGACUGCGAGUGAUAAGAUCCGUAGUCGAAAGGGAAACAGCCCAGACCACCAGUUAAGGUCCCCAAAUAUAUGUUAAGUGGAAAAGGAUGUGGGGUUGCUUAGACAACCAGGAUGUUGGCUUAGAAGCAGCCACCAUUGAAAGAGUGCGUAAUAGCUCACUGGUCGAGUGACCCCGCGCCGAAAAUGUACCGGGGCUAAACAUAUUACCGAAACUGUGGAUGAACCUCUUUAGAGGUUCGUGGUAGGAGAGCGUUCUAAGGGCGGUGAAGUCAGACCGGAAGGACUGGUGGAGCGCUUAGAAGUGAGAAUGCCGGUAUGAGUAGCGAAAGAAGGGUGAGAAUCCCUUCCACCGAAUAUCUAAGGUUUCCUGAGGAAGGCUCGUCCGCUCAGGGUUAGUCGGGACCUAAGCCGAGGCCGAUAGGCGUAGGCGAUGGACAACAGGUAGAGAUUCCUGUACCAGUGCUAAUUGUUUAACCGAUGGGGUGAC